GUUUCUGUAGUGUAGUGGUUAUCACAUCCACCUAACACGCGGAAGAUCGCAGGUUCGAGCCCUGCCAGAAACA
rnacentral:tRNA from 1 species